UAUAAUCCUCGGGGGCACCCUCA
rnacentral:piRNA from 1 species